UACAGAGGCCUCGAGCGUUAGGCGGAAUCACUGGGCUUAAAGCGUGUGUAGGCGGACUUCUAAGUACCUUGUGAAAUCCCACGGCUCACCCGUGGAACUGCUCGGUAUACUGGUCGUCUUGAGCCUUCUAGGGGCGAGUGGAACAAAUGGUGGAGCGGUGAAAUGCGUAGAUAUCAUUUUGGAACGCCAAUGGUGAAAACAACUCGCUGGGGAAGUGCUGACGCUGAG
rnacentral:rRNA from 1 species